rnacentral:rRNA from 2 species
AUGGUGCUUGCACCUGAUUGAUUUUGGUCGCCAACGAGUGGCGGACGGGUGAGUAACACGUAGGUAACCUGCCCAGAAGCGGGGGACAACAUUUGGAAACAGAUGCUAAUACCGCAUAACAACGUUGUUCGCAUGAACAACGCUUAAAAGAUGGCUUCUCGCUAUCACUUCUGGAUGGACCUGCGGUGCAUUAGCUUGUUGGUGGGGUAACGGCCUACCAAGGCGAUGAUGCAUAGCCGAGUUGAGAGACUGAUCGGCCACAAUGGGACUGAGACACGGCCCAUACUCCUACGGGAGGCAGCAGUAGGGAAUCUUCCACAAUGGGCGCAAGCCUGAUGGAGCAACACCGCGUGAGUGAAGAAGGGUUUCGGCUCGUAAAGCUCUGUUGUUAAAGAAGAACACGUAUGAGAGUAACUGUUCAUACGUUGACGGUAUUUAACCAGAAAGUCACGGCUAACUACGUGCCAGCAGCCGCGGUAAUACGUAGGUGGCAAGCGUUAUCCGGAUUUAUUGGGCGUAAAGAGAGUGCAGGCGGUUUUCUAAGUCUGAUGUGAAAGCCUUCGGCUUAACCGGA